rnacentral:lncRNA from 1 species
CUAAAACUACACCCUGUAGGAAAGAGCGSAGUCUGGAUGCUCAUCUCAGCCCAACUUUCUCCUGUUCGUCCAAAAACCAAGUUCAGCAGAUCUCAAAAGCUAAGCACUGGACUCCCUCAAGCCCCAGUAUGGAUAAUGCUCAUGAGAACCACCUUCCCCCAGCUAGACUCUUCCAGCUGUCARAGGCUGCUGGUAGCUCACUCACCACCACGAAGGUCAAGCUACCUGUCAGCCACCAUUCAGAGGGGAAUCCAUUACAGGUGCUGCCAAUAGAUAAUACUUCUUCAAGCACUGCUCAGCAGAGCAAUGCUGAUCAUGCCAAAAGACAGGUCCCACAGAAGCAAGUCAAAGGUGAGUACAUGAGAUAUGUGGCUGGCUCAAGAGGCACUACUAAAUUCUUCAGCACUUGCUCUGUUGCAAUCUGAACCUAAGAGCUGUAAAUGCAACGCAAACAGUCUACUUGGGAAAGCGAUCACAUGGGUAUGCCUCUUACAGCCAAGUGUUAAGCCUUACUUUGCAACGGAUGACWUUGGCACCAUUCCAAAAUGAGUUACCCUCCAUCUCCCUCUUUGCCAAAAAUAACCUCUUAGGAAGAGAACAUAACGCUUUCAGAGGUGUURAUAAUCCUAGUCUAAUGGACAUACAGAGUACAAGGUUUAAUCUGAAUUAGCUAUGUGACAAUAUACUGCUUCCCCUCAAUGGAAUUGAUUGAUGAUAUAUUGCUUCCGCAAUGGAAUGGAAUGAUGAUCAGAGCAUCCCAAAUGCCCUUGGAUUUUUUUAAGGCAGAUCCAGUGCCUUUGCAAAACUCAGGUUUCUGCAGCACCAGGCCAUCUCUCUCUUUCCCAUUCUGACUGGCAAGGAGACCCAAACCAAGGUGUUACUAGGGCAGUCAGAUAAGGCGCUACUGUCAUUGUGAGAAACUUGAUUGGGUGCUUCAUCUUCCUUCAUGUGUAGGGCCUGCAGAUGGUGCCAGCAGCCGGCRGAAGCAGCAGUCAGUCACAGCCUUGAGGAACCAGCUGAGAAUGAAAUAAAUCACCAGGGGGAGCAGGAUUCUCUGUGGGY